ACUAUCUUGUCGUCACUAUAAAAUCUUUACUCAACAUGGCGGCUCUUUGUUUAUGUCAACGAACCGGACAGGAAGCUGGAUCCCCCGAAGAGAGCUACAGAAACGGACGAAAAUGAAAGACUGCAUGAAUCAAAGCUCGGAUGAGGAGACUGAGAGAGAAAGACAGAGAGAAGCUGAUGGAAAUGAGAGACAGAGAGCAGGCUGUCAUUGAUAAGAGAUCAGAGGAGACCUGCAGGCUGGAAACCAUCUGCUGUUACAUGAAAGAGGGGAAACAGGUGGAAAUCUGGAACAAAAAGGCCUGGGUCUUUAUAAGCAACAGAUCAGCAACAUGACAACAGCAUCAGCAGCGGCAACAUCUCCCACUGAUGGCUCAGAGUUUCCCUGGAGGGAAAUCCUCUUUGUCUGGGCGGCCCGAGCCGGCCGUGUCUUUCAACAGGAUAUCCCAACAGAAGGUGAGGUCAACUAUGAGCAAACUCUGCACAAUAGGAUCUAGAGCUGGAUUUGAUGUUUCACAAAGCAGUGGACAUAUUCUUUGAAGAUUUCACCUCCUCCCUCCGUCAAAGUCUGUGAGAGUUAAUUAAACAUUGGACAGCUUGGGGUCAAGCCUCGGCUCAAAGUGAAAAGAGAAAAGACUUUUUAAAAAUCGAUCUCGUCAUUUUGACAGGAUGUUGCAUGAAUUAGUUGUUGUUUUGACGUUUUUCUGUAAAGGAAACUUGAAGGUUGCAGCUCAGUGAACGCACAUAAUUAUCAACUUCUGCUGAAGUUCUGAAAACAUUUUGUUUUCAUGUGAAAAUCUAAAUGAAU